CCAGAACUGGGGGUGGGGGUGCGUCAUCCAAAGUCUGGCUCAGAUGGAUCCAAACACGAAAGCGAAUGAAGAGGAGGGGGCGGUUGCUACGAAGGGCGAAGUCCAGAAUAUAACCAACCUACUGGCCUGGCUCCCGGAGGUGUUGAAAACAUUUCCCCCCAAGGCUUGCUCACCGCCUCCCUGCUACUCCCACACCCCCGGGUCCCCUCAAACCAUGUCCAAAGUUCAACAGUUUCAAAGAGGCAGACCUGAAGUGAAGGAACAAACACGGCCUUUGGCAACAGCAGGUGGGUUUCCAAUCUGGACUGCCAAGGUCCUGCGAGCUGUGUGGCCUUGGAAGGGUCCCGGGAGGGCCCUUGUGAUGUGGUCCCUUAGGGCCUGGGUGAGGAUAACACAGGUCUAUGUGUGUCAAGGCCAAGCGCAUUGUGGUUCUCAGGAAUAAGGAUUCCUUCCUCUUUCCCACUCCCUACCCAGCCACACACCCACCCUUCCCUUUGUUCCUUUCUCUGUUAUGCAACCAAAGUUUAAAUCCUUCGUAGGUUCACUGCCAGCAAACAGCAAAACAGUGGCCUGGCAAAGGGAGGUUUCGAAAGCCACAUUGCCCACGUUCUUGUCCACGUGCUCUAGGACAGGACCUCUGCACUCUUUCCCCAAUAUCGCAAAGAGCCCCGUAAGUGGUUACGUUCCCCAAAUCGCAGAGCUGUGGCCAGCUGUUGCCAUGGCGACCGGAACCCCCUGACAACCAUCUCGAAGGGCCUCUGAGGAGGAGACUGCUUGGCUUCCAUUCACGCGCAGUUCAAACGGCUCGCCCACAGGUCACCCUGCCUGGGACAGAUGCCUAAGGCCUCUCCCAUUGCCUACCAGCUCAGGCUGGAGAGGUGGAGGAGGCCAGUCACAGGGGCUGAGGGGCUCACCUGGGAGUCUGUAUAUGCUGGGGAGCCAACAAAGGUUGCAUGCGGCAUGUGCACUUUGGAUCAGAAGGGCCUGGGUGCUCAGGAGAGAAGUCACGAGGAUCUUCACUGGGCAGGGCCAGUAGGGAGGAACUGAGGACCUGGCCAAAGAGGCAUUGUAGAGGCCCUACGAUGGGUCUUUAGUGACAGAAGAGAGAGUGAGGGUGAAGGAGGAAGGGAAGGUUCUGGCAUAUGAAGUGACUGUGUAAGUCCUGGAGCAGGGGACAUUGGCCACCAUUCUCCAGAGUGGCCCUCAGUGAUCUCACCUCCUGAUAUCCCACACUAUAUCAGGACUGGCCUAUGUGACCACGAGCCACACAGGAAGGAGGAUGACAUAUGACCCAAAGCUAGGCCAUCAAAGACAUUGCAACUUUUCUGCCUUACUUCCUUUUCUCUGAUCAGCUCUGGGGAAAAGCCAGCUGCUACACUGUGGGAAUACAUAGCCUCAAGAAGAGGCCCUCACGGCAUAGGACUGGGGCCUUCUGCCAAAACCCAGCGAGAUGCUGGGCUCUCCCACCAAUGGCUGUGCGAGUGAGCGGGAAAUAGACCCUCCGGCCCCAGUCGGCUUCAGAUGCUGGCAGCCCCACCUGUAACCUCAAGGCAGGCCUUGAGCCAAACCAUCCAGCUAAGCUGCUCCGAAUUUUCUGACCCACAACAACUGUGAGAUAAUAAAUGUUUGCUAUUCCAA